AGGGCACCACCAGGAGUGGAGCCUGCGGCUUAAUUUGACUCAACACGGGGAAACUCACCCGGCCCGGACACCGGAAGGAUUGACAGAUUGAGAGCUCUUUCUUGAUUCAGUGGGUGGUGGUGCAUGGCCGUUCUUAGUUGGUGGAGCGAUUUGUCUGGUUAAUUCCGAUAACGAACGAGACUCUAGCCUACUAAAUAGACUGUUCAGCUUUAUAGCCGGAAUCACCGGGCAUGUAGCUCUCACGGGUUGCGUGUUCGGCUCUGGUGACGUUGGCAGUGCUUCUUAGAGGGACAGGCGGCGGUUCAGCCGCACGAAACAGAGCAAUAACAGGUCUGUGAUGCCCUUAGAUGUCCGGGGCUGCACGCGCGCUACACUGAAGUGAUCAGCGUGCAAUUUACGUUUGGUGAUCUGUCAAGAUUGCCCAACCCGUUGAACCUUCUUCGUGAUUGGGAUAGGGGAUUGUAAUUAUUCCCCUUGAACGAGGAAUUCCCAGUAAGCGCAAGUCAUAAGCUUGCGUUG
rnacentral:rRNA from 1 species